CUAGCGCGCGAAGCAUCGUGUAGCUAACGUGAGCCAUUGAUGUUUAAACCGUCGUGUUUCUGUGUUUACAGUGUCUGGACCUUAAGGAAUUUUCCUAGUUCCUGGUCAGAAGCAGAAGCCCUUAGCUUUGAUAUCUCAACCAUCAUGUCCAAUCUACAAAGACUCUUGAACUACCAACGUGGUCCAUAACCUGCCAGCCUCUGCCUGAACCCUGGACAUAACCUUUAGUCUUCUGUCCCUCUCUGCCUGUUCCCUGGACUCUCUGACCUUGCAGGAGGAAUGCGCUCGUCAGUGAGUCGAGCAGCUUCAAGCUGUGAGACAGUAUCCAAGCCAAGCCAGGCGUGCUGAAUUAAGAACUAUACAGCAGUCCCAUUCAUUUCACUGAUGCCUGGUGUGGGUGCAGUCGUGCUCCCAAUGCAGUGGUACGAAAUAAAACACUAAUAUUUUGUGUACUGACAUUACAGCAUCAGACACACGCGUCGUCGGCUGUCAAACUGGUCUUCCCUGAAGUAACACACCCUUAUCCACUUAGCUGUCUUUCAUCUGAACACCAAAUAUCUGACGAGUGACAACAAACACCAGCUCAGGCGUGUUGGAUAAUCUGUGUAUAGCAGUGGCUCAUGUUAUCCACUUCCACACAUUUGAAAACACAGGCAACCGAGGAGAAAUUACACCAAAGCAGAAAAGAGUGCUUUGAGUAUUCACACAUCGUGCUGUGCCUACAUUUUUAAUUAUUCAAAAUGUUGGUAAAGGGAUGAAUUUUUAUUCCCACAGCGUGAUGCUGACCAUGGGGUCUUUGAAAGAUCUCGCCCACCCAUGGAUUCAACCCGCAGAUUCAAUAUGCAAUAAGUCAACCAGCUGUCACUUUGGACAACUUUAAAUUUCAUAUCAUUUUAUUUUGAUAGAAACAACACAGUUAAACUUCUCUUGGGUUUCCUCCACGAGACACACUGUUGCAUUAAAUGUCAUAGCAUUCCACCGUAUUUUACAGAAUGGCCGACUAUUUCACCCCAAAUUUCAAGAUGUCGUCCAUGUGAGCUUCUCAUGUGACUUUAAGCCAGAAGUCGAUCUGAUUUUGCUGAUAUUUUCCAGAUAAACUGGUUGUUAGUGGGAAGUGUCUUGGUGUGUGUGCAUGGUAUGUUAGAGGUUGUAGUGACAGGAGAGGCAGACGUUGGAGAUCCUUAGCAGUCUCUUAAUCUAACAUGGUUAAGAGCCACAGCAUAUUGAUCUGGGUCAAGUCGGACACAACCGACACCGACGGUGACGGUGGGCUGUUGUGCUGUACAGACUGACGCUGCAGCUGAUCUGGCUGAGAUUGUUUUUUUAUAAGGACGCUUAAACCAACAGGAGGAAUUCACAAUUGACCUUGAGUGUUGUUAUUCAAAAAAAUCAAUAUCCUUGUGUGUGUUGUUGUACUUGAGUGCUCACAGGGAAUCUUUUUUUUUUUUUUUCCGCAAAACUCACAGCUGACUACACAGCAGGAAAAAUGAAGAUAAGAGUUAAAUCAAUUUAAUUGUGUCACAUUUUGGCACCAAGGACAUGAGGCCACGCACAGAGUUUGAUUAAAUAUAAUAUAUCAAGUUCUUCCACUUAGAGCUUUGCGUCUUUGAGUCCUAUCACUCAUCAUUCCAUUCUGUCAUUCAUGCCCAUUUCUUCUGUUUGUUCCUCAGGGAUACUACCCAGUAUAAUCCACUUCCUCUGACUGGUAUGGUAUCUUCCCCUUU